GGGUUGUGAGGUUAAGCGACUAAGCGUACACGGUGGAUGCCCUGGCAGUCAGAGGCGAUGAAGGACGUGCUAAUCUGCGAUAAGCGUCGGUGAGGUGAUAUGAACCGUUAUAACCGGCGAUUUCCGAAUGGGGAAACCCAGUGUGUUUCGACACACUAUCAUUAACUGAAUCCAUAGGUUAAUGAGGCGAACCGGGGGAACUGAAACAUCUAAGUACCCCGAGGAAAAGAAAUCAACCGAGAUUCCCCCAGUAGCGGCGAGCGAACGGGGAGGAGCCCAGAGCCUGAAUCAGUGUGUGUGUUAGUGGAAGCGUCUGGAAAGGCGUGCGAUACAGGGUGACAGCCCCGUACACAAAAAUGCACAUAUUGUGAGCUCGAUGAGUAGGGCGGGACACGUGGUAUCCUGUCUGAAUAUGGGGGGACCAUCCUCCAAGGCUAAAUACUCCUGACUGACCGAUAGUGAACCAGUACCGUGAGGGAAAGGCGAAAAGAACCCCGGCGAGGGGAGUGAAAAAGAACCUGAAACCGUGUACGUACAAGCAGUGGGAGCCUCUUAAUGGGGUGACUGCGUACCUUUUGUAUAAUGGGUCAGCGACUUAUAUUCUGUAGCAAGGUUAACCGAAUAGGGGAGCCGAAGGGAAACCGAGUCUUAACUGGGCGUUAAGUUGCAGGGUAUAGACCCGAAACCCGGUGAUCUAGCCAUGGGCAGGUUGAAGGUUGGGUAACACUAACUGGAGGACCGAACCGACUAAUGUUGAAAAAUUAGCGGAUGACUUGUGGCUGGGGGUGAAAGGCCAAUCAAACCGGGAGAUAGCUGGUUCUCCCCGAAAGCUAUUUAGGUAGCGCCUCGUGAAUUCAUCUCCGGGGGUAGAGCACUGUUUCGGCAAGGGGGUCAUCCCGACUUACCAACCCGAUGCAAACUGCGAAUACCGGAGAAUGUUAUCACGGGAGACACACGGCGGGUGCUAACGUCCGUCGUGAAGAGGGAAACAACCCAGACCGCCAGCUAAGGUCCCAAAGUCAUGGUUAAGUGGGAAACGAUGUGGGAAGGCCCAGACAGCCAGGAUGUUGGCUUAGAAGCAGCCAUCAUUUAAAGAAAGCGUAAUAGCUCACUGGUCGAGUCGGCCUGCGCGGAAGAUGUAACGGGGCUAAACCAUGCACCGAAGCUGCGGCAGCGACACUAUGUGUUGUUGGGUAGGGGAGCGUUCUGUAAGCCUGUGAAGGUGGCCUGUGAGGGUUGCUGGAGGUAUCAGAAGUGCGAAUGCUGACAUAAGUAACGAUAAAGCGGGUGAAAAGCCCGCUCGCCGGAAGACCAAGGGUUCCUGUCCAACGUUAAUCGGGGCAGGGUGAGUCGACCCCUAAGGCGAGGCCGAAAGGCGUAGUCGAUGGGAAACAGGUUAAUAUUCCUGUACUUGGUGUUACUGCGAAGGGGGGACGGAGAAGGCUAUGUUGGCCGGGCGACGGUUGUCCCGGUUUAAGCGUGUAGGCUGGUUUUCCAGGCAAAUCCGGAAAACCAAGGCUGAGGCGUGAUGACGAGGCACUACGGUGCUGAAGUGACAAAUGCCCUGCUUCCAGGAAAAGCCUCUAAGCAUCAGGUAACAUCAAAUCGUACCCCAAACCGACACAGGUGGUCAGGUAGAGAAUACCAAGGCGCUUGAGAGAACUCGGGUGAAGGAACUAGGCAAAAUGGUGCCGUAACUUCGGGAGAAGGCACGCUGAUAUGUAGGUGAAGCGACUUGCUCGU
rnacentral:rRNA from 1 species